rnacentral:tRNA from 1 species
AGUUAAUGAACUUGUAUAAGUAUAUAUUUUGAAAAUAUAAUAAAGAGUCUAUUCUCUAUUAACUU